rnacentral:rRNA from 1 species
GAACGAGAAAGUGGAGCAAUCCAUGAGUAAAGUGGCGACCGGGUGAGUAACACGUAGCUAACCCACCCUGAAGUGGGGGAUAACCUGGGGAAACCCGGGCUAAUACCGCAUAACAUCCUGAUGGCGCAAGCCAAUGGGAGCAAAGGCCCGCAAGGGCCGCUGGAGGAGGGGGCUGCGGCCGAUUAGCUAGUUGGUGAGGUAAUGGCUCACCAAGGCUACGAUCAGUAUCCGGUCUGAGAGGACGGUCGGACACACUGGAACUGAGACACGGUCCAGACUCCUACGGGAGGCAGCAGUGGGGAAUUUUUGGCAAUGGGGGCAACCCUGACCAAGCAACGCCGCGUGGGUGAUGAAGUCUCUUGGGACGUAAAACCCUUUCGACGGGGAAGAAACCGCAAGGUUGACGGUACCCGUAGAAGAAGCCCCGGCUAACUCCGUG